AGUUCCCACAUGAUAUAUGAGCAAUUAUAUAAUCUUUACUUUAUAUUUAGGUUAGGUAAACAAUAACAGUUUCCAAAAAAAUGAAAUAGGAAGUAGUAUUCAAUUUUUAAAACAUAUGAAAGGGAGAUUUAAAAAAUACCAAUUAUAGAAGACAUAACAAUAAGCAUGAAUGAGAGACUAAUUAAAAGCAACAGAAAAUUGUGUUUCACUGGAUAAAGAAUAAUCUAUAUUAUUAAAAGAGAAAUACCCAUUAAAAAAUAACCCUAAGUUUUCUAACUUAUUUACACUUCCAUGCCACUGAGAAUUAAAUUAAACUAACUAUUUCAAUGCUUGUCUUUUCCGGUUAAAUUAAUGAGUUUUCCUUAAUCAAAUUUAAACUUAGUGUCAUUAAAUGAACUUACCUAUUU
rnacentral:lncRNA from 1 species